UUAAAUGGCUCAUAGUCUGCGUGUUAAUAGCUUUUUCCAUUGGCCUGGGAGAGCGGUUAGUGAAUC
rnacentral:ncRNA from 1 species